UACGGAGGGUGCAAGCGUUAUCCGGAUUUAUUGGGUUUAAAGGGUGCGUAGGCGGCCUUGUAAGUCAGUGCUGAAAUAUCCCGGCUUAACCGGGAGGGUGGCAUUGAUACUGCAGGGCUUGAGUAAAGUUGAGGUUGGCGGAAUUGACGGUGUAGCGGUGAAAUGCUUAGAUAUCGUCAAGAACACCGAUAGUGAAGACAGCUAACUAAGCUUUAACUGACGCUGAGGCACGAAAGUGUGGGGAUCAAACAGG
rnacentral:rRNA from 1 species